rnacentral:tRNA from 1 species
GGAGAGGUAUCCAAGUGGUUGACGGAGCCGCUCUCGAAAAGCGGUAGNNCGUGGGUUCGAAUCCCACCCUCUCCGCCA